UACAGAGGGUGCAAACGUUGUUCGGAAUUACUGGGCGUAAAGCGCGUGUAGGCGGCCCUGCAAGUCGGAUGUGAAAUCCCACGGCUCAACCGUGGAAGUGCAUUCGAAACUGCGGGGCUGGAGUACUGGAGAGGAAGGUGGAAUGCUCGGUGUAGAGGUGAAAUUCGUAGAUAUCGAGCGGAACACCGGUGGCGAAGGCGGCCUUCUGGACAGUAACUGACGCUGAGACGCGAAAGCGUGGGGAGCAAACAGG
rnacentral:rRNA from 1 species